rnacentral:rRNA from 1 species
UACGUAGGGUGCGAGCGUUGUCCGGAAUUAUUGGGCGUAAAGGGCUCGUAGGCGGUUUGUCGCGUCGGGAGUGAAAUCCACUGGCUUAACUGGUGGCUUGCUUUCGAUACGGGCAGACUGGAGGCAUGCAGGGGAGAACGGAAUUCCUGGUGUAGCGGUGAAAUGCGUAGAUAUCUGGAGGAACACCGGUGGCGAAGGCGGCAUCCUGGACCAAUUCUGACGCUGAGGAGCGAAAGCCAGGGGAGCAAACGGG